rnacentral:tRNA from 1 species
GCCGAAGUGGCGGAACUGGCAGACGCGCUAGGUUCAGGGUCUAGUGGGCUAACGCUCGUGGGGGUUCGAGUCCCCCCUUCGGCA